rnacentral:lncRNA from 1 species
CAUGGAGUUCCCCUGGAUUUCCUGGUCAUGAGGAGUGGGUAGCAGGAUGAAGCGCCUCCAAGCUUGGACCUCCUGCAGAGACUUCUUUAGUUCUGGCCCCACUCAAAACUAGCAGCCUUAGGGCUAUUCGAAAAUGGAUGCAAGAGUAGAAGCUGAUCCUCGAGGCUUGCAAAAGUGGGGUUCUUUCUGAAAGUGAAGCCAGCAGCCAAGAGCCACCCUUCAGAAGAUAGAAGGAAGAGCAGCUGCAUGAGUGAUGGCCACAGCAAUGCAUGGGUCCUGUCUGUCCACGUAGUCCUCUCCAUCUGCCCGUAGCUUGCCAGGUCUCCUACCCACACUGGGGAAAUUCCAGCUGCCGGCCCUCUUUGGGUUGCACCUCCCCUUUUUGCACAGGGCUCUAUUGGGAAAGCAGCUGUCAUGUGUCUAUUUGAAAGACAAGAAACCAGUCUAGUUAUAGAAAAGAGAUUUAGAUUACAUCAGAAUAACAAUGCAAAUCAUUUGUGCAGUUCUUAGUACAGAAAACAGAUUUAGGAACAAAAAUUGGGAGGGUUAAAGAAAGUGGUUUUUUAUUCUGUCAUCAAAAUUGUUUUUUAAAAACACAUCUGUAGUAAGAUAAAUAAUUGUGUGCCGACUUCAUAAACAGAAUGAAUGACUGAAUUCACACAAUGUUAUUUACUGUUUCAGGGCACACACACAUGGUUUCCAAGUGGUUUCUUGCCACUUUGGCCUUCAACUGGCCUUGCUAUUUUCCAUUGAGGGGUGUCUGAUUGUCUCCUCCACAGCCCUGAGUCUAAGCAAAAGCCCAUGGGUUGGUUGACUGGUGUUCUUGUUGUCCUUGGAAGUGGACAGACUGGCAGAUGUGGGGCUAGUGGGGAAGAUUCUCGUAAACACUUUAUUUGUUGUAAGAACUCCAGUUGGAAUGUGGCUUCCAAUCAUGGGAGGAGGACUGCUUUAGAACAGGUUAGAGGGAGAGAGAGAGAGGGAGAGCGAGAGAGAGAGAGAGAGAGA